AUGCGAGUCGGGCGCUGCCCGGACUCCAGCAAUGCAGCCACCCUCGGCUCCCUUCCUGCGGCCGCACAUUGUUGCGGCCCUGCCUCUACGCGCCGCUCUGCUGCUCCCCAGCACCGCCCGUGCUGGCUGCUCCGCGUCUGCACACGCCGGCUGUUUUCUAGACGCGCUAAGUCCCUGCUUCGGUCGCCUUCGAGCUGCGCCGGCCACGGCCCCGCUGCUACGCCAAGCGUUGCUCGAGCUCUGGUGCUCGCUCCAUCUUCUCCUGCCUCGCACGCGUCGUGUUUCUCCGCUCCACCAUCAUGGUCGAGGUCACCUCAAUGCCCCUGUGCGUCACUUAGCCGGCGUCCUCCCGCGUCGCCACCGCUCCUCUGCCAGGUCCGCGCGCGCCGGCCACUGCUGGAUCCGGCUCCGCCAGCCUCCCGCGCGCCGUCUGGCCACUCCUCAUCGCCGGCUCUGCGCGCCCGCGUCGCCCCGCCUAGGCCGGCUCCGGUUUCCGUGUGCCCGCUGGCAAGCGCGGCCUCGGCCAGCCCCGGCUACCGCGCAGCCGCUCGCUGGCGCGGCCUCGACCUCGUCCUUGGACGACCGCGUCGCUCCGGCUCUGCCUCCCACCCGUGCGCCGGGCCGGCUCGCCGUUCGCUGGCUUCGCCGUCCCCGAGCGGCUCCUGGCCGCCUCCCCAAGCUGGCUCCUGGCCGCCUCCCCAAGACGGCCACGUCCGACUCCGCCCGACGCCGCCCCGAGAUUGGACGGGUCUGGCUCGCCCCGCUUCCCGGCCUCCCGCCUGCUGCUCCUCCGCUUCGGCCGGCUCCCGCGCUGGCCGGUUUCCCUGCAACCCGGCCUGCCCGACUUCGCCCUCGCUAGCUCCUCCUGCCACCUGGCCUCCUGCCGGCUCACCGCUCGCCGGCUCCGCCUCCCGCCGGCUCCGCCUCCCGCCGGCUCUGGUCCCGGCUUCGCGCCGCGCCUCACCCUACUGCUGCCCCCGCUGUGGCCGGGUCGCUUCCGCCAUGGCUGGGCCGCGCCCGCCACAUCGGCCCAGCCCCGUCGUCUUCAACCGCCCCCGCCUUGGGUCCUCGUCGCCGGCCGGCCGGCUCACUGCUCGCCGGCUCCGCCUCCACCAGUGGCCGGGUCGCGCGUGCCGGCUCCGCCCCAACCCUCUCGCCGGCUUUGCCUCUGCCCGAGGCCGGGUGCUCCAACCCGGCCUCGGCGUCCUGCGCCUCCACGCGCUUGGCAGCUCGACCCCGCCGCGCCCGUCGGCUCCGGGUCACCCACGCCGCCCCCGCGCGGCCGGCCGUUGCCGCUACCGUCUUCGGUUUCCCCGUGGCCGGGUCGCGCCCGCCGGUUCCGGCUCUGCCCGUGGCCGGCUCUAG
rnacentral:rRNA from 1 species